UGCACUCUUUCUAGCUUAAUGGCGUAUUUCCUGCAGCAGGGUAACCAAAACUGAACACAAUACUCCAGGUGUGGUC